UACGGAGGGUGCAAGCGUUAUCCGGAUUCACUGGGCGUAAAGGGUGCGUAGGUGGUUAGGUAAGUCCGAUGUGAAAUCUCCAGGCUCAACCUGGAAAUGGCAUUGGAUACUAUUUAGCUUGAGGAGUGGAGGGGGGACUGGAAUUCUCGGUGUAGCAGUGAAAUGCGUAGAUAUCGAGAAGAACACCAGUGGCGAAGGCGAGUCCCUGGACACUUCCUGACACUGAGGCACGAAAGCUAGGGGAGCAAACAGG
rnacentral:rRNA from 1 species